rnacentral:rRNA from 1 species
UGGUCAAGUUAUUAAGGGUGCAGGGCGGAUGCCUUGGCACUAGGAGCCGAUGAAGGACGUGAUAAGCUGCGAUAAGCU